GUGGAUAUAGUUUAAUUGGUAAAACAUAUGUUUUAGGGACAUAUAUCUUCAGUUCAAAACUGAAUAUCUACA
rfam:Ashbya gossypii (= Eremothecium gossypii) ATCC 10895 mitochondrion, complete genome.